UACGUAGGUGGCAAGCGUUGUCCGGAUUUACUGGGCGUAAAGAGCGCGCAGGCGGUCGUACAAGUCGCGUGUGAAAGCCCCCGGCUCAACUGGGGAGGGUCACGCGAUACUGUUCGACUCGAAGGCAGGAGAGGGAAGUGGAAUUCCCGGUGUAGUGGUGAAAUGCGUAGAUAUCGGGAGGAACACCGGUGGCGAAGGCGACAUCCUGGACCGGUAUUGACGCUGAGGCGCGAAAGCCAGGGGAGCAAACGGG
rnacentral:rRNA from 1 species